AAGUCGUAACAAGGUUUCCGUAGGUGAACCUGCGGAAGGAUCAUCAGCGAGGGUUGCGAAUCCACGAGCGUGUGAACCGAGUAUGAGAGGGCAAAGGGGUGGUGUGGUCAGCCGACGCAAGUCGGCGCGGUGGGCCCUCUGCGGGUCAGCCGACGCAAGUCGGCGCAGAGUUCUGGGACGCAGCGUCCUGAGGCGCCUGCCGCCUGCACCGCCCGCCCGCAUUCUAUUUCCGAGCAUUGGUCACGAAUAAAAGAGUACAGAGUCUUGACUACAUAUAGUUAACACAACUUUCAACAAUGGAUCUCUUGGCUCUC
rnacentral:misc_RNA from 1 species